GCCAGCUCUUAUUCUCCUACAAACGUUUGUUCUCAUACAAACCUAAGAAAUGAUGAUAAGUUAUUUCCUUAAGCUUUUGGGGUAUUGUAUUUGUAGAUGCAUAAAAAUACACAAUUCAAAGCAAAAGUGUAGUGUUGGUAUUGGGAACUCAGCAUUAUAAAGCUAGGAGCCUUGUCUCCAUGUCACGUUCCAAACCAGAUAACAUCUUCAUUCUAUAUUUCUUCCUUUUCUCUCGCCUCUAGGUUCGAGAAAGUGUAAGAAAAUCCCUUAAACCUAUAAAGGAAAUAAUAUAUCCAACCUUCCUCCAAGACAAGUUUAGACCAAUUCCUCUUAUGAAGAAAGCAACAAUUCCUUGCCUUAUUUGCUUUUCCUAGCUACUUCAAUUCAUUUCCUCUCUUAUAAGUUAUCUAUUUUAAUUAGGUAGAGCCACAACAUAAAUUCAAAACCCUAAACACAAAAUCUUAGACUAAUUAAGUAAUUAAUAAUCUAAUAUUAAUAUCGCACAAUUGUUUCUCAUCAUCAUGCAAGCAUAAUAAAGCUUUUGCUCUUCAUAGGUUCUUCUUCCUCCUUAGUUUUAUAUAUAAACUUAUAUACAAGCAAAGAGGAGGAGAACAAAUUAAAGAAGUUGGAAUAUGAGUAGUGGGAGAUUUAAUAGGUCUAUUAAGGGCUUAUUAAGAUUAAUAAGCUUUUUGUGGCUUUCUUUGGUUGGAGUUUUAGCUAGUAGAGGAACGACGACGAUGGCAACAACAAAUCCUUUAGACAAGAAUAAUGUGAAUCAUGAAGUGCUCACGGUUGGAAGAGAGAAGCACUUAGCUCGCUCGAAGGUGAAUAUAAACUACAUGAGCAAAAGAAAAGUACCUAAUGGUCCUGAUCCCAUACAUAACAGGCAUCUUCCUUAAAGUGACUUACAACAACACUUAGCAUUUUGAAGCUGCUUUUGUUGCCUUAUCAAAGUAGAUAGCCUGUCUUUUCAGUCUCUGCGAGCCGGAAAUUCUAGACGACCACCAGGACAAGCUUAGGGUAUGUACAAGAGCCUGAGGAGCAUCAUCCAUUAUAGUUCAC